rnacentral:rRNA from 1 species
UGGGGAAUCUUGCGCAAUGCGCGAAAGCGUGACGCAGCAACGCCGCGUGGGGGAAGACGGCCUUCGGGUUGUAAACCCCUUUCAGUUGGGACGAAGCUUCGGCGGUGAAUAGCCGUUCGGAGUGACGGUACCUUCAGAAGAAGCCCCGGCUAACUACGUGCCAGCAGCCGCGGUAAUACGUAGGGGGCAAGCGUUGUCCGGAAUUAUUGGGCGUAAAGCGCGUGUAGGCGGCUCGGUAAGUCCGCUGUGAAAGUCCAGGGCUCAACCCUGGAAUGCCGGUGGAAACUGUCGAGCUAGAGUCCGGAAGAGGCGAGUGGAAUUCCUGGUGUAGCGGUGAAAUGCGCAGAUAUCAGGAGGAACACCAAUGGCGAAGGCAGCUCGCUGGGACGGUACUGACGCUGAGACGCGAAAGCGUGGGGAGCAAACAG